rnacentral:rRNA from 1 species
UACGAAGGGGGCUAGCGUUGUUCGGAAUUACUGGGCGUAAAGCGUGCGCAGGCGGCCUUUCAAGUCAGUGGUGAAAGCCCGGAGCUCAACUCCGGAACUGCCAUUGAAACUGUUUGGCUUGAGUACGAGAGAGGUGAGUGGAAUUCCCAGUGUAGAGGUGAAAUUCGUAGAUAUUGGGAAGAACACCGGUGGCGAAGGCGGCUCACUGGCUCGUAACUGACGCUCAGGCACGACAGCGUGGGGAUCAAACAGG